rnacentral:rRNA from 1 species
UGCGUAGGCGGACUAAUAAGUCAGUGGUGAAAUCUCUCGGCUCAACCGGGAAACUGCCAUUGAUACUGUUAGUCUUGAGUUCGGUUGAGGUAGGCGGAAUGUGUAAUGUAGCGGUGAAAUGCUUAGAUAUUACACAGAACACCAAUUGCGUAGGCAGCUUACUAGACCGACACUGACGCUGAGGCACAAAAGCGUGGGUAGCGAACAGGAUUAGAUACCCUGGUAGUCC